UACGAAGGGGGCUAGCGUUGCUCGGAAUGACUGGGCGUAAAGGGCGCGUAGGCGGUUUGUACAGUCAGAUGUGAAAUUCCCGGGCUCAACCUGGGGGCUGAAUUUGAUACGUGCGGACUUGAGUGGGGAAGAGGGUCGUGGAAUUCCCAGUGUAGAGGUGAAAUUCGUAGAUAUUGGGAAGAACACCGGUGGCGAAGGCGGCGACCUGGUCCUUGACUGACGCUGAGGCGCGAAAGCGUGGGGAGCAAACAGG
rnacentral:rRNA from 1 species